AGGGUGGUGUCAUUAAACCUGGGUCGUUGCCCGUCAGCCCGCUUCUGGAAAUGGCGGGCAGCUGAAGCCAAGAUAACAAAAAGGAUUAGAGGCAACAGAGACCUAGCCAAGUCACAGACCUGGAAGAUGAAAAGCUCCAGUGACUUGGUGAAUGUUGAUGUGUUCUUGAAGAGGAGAGGGAAAAUGGAAGAGGAGUAGGCUUCUGGAGGUCUUUAAUGCAUUGGUUUCAGUGUUCACUGGGUGGUUAGAACUUAAGAUUUUCCAGCAAUAGUCAGUCACAGUCUAGCUCAUUCUGGACAUGCAAGAGUUACAGAAAAAGAAAAAGGAAUAGUAGUUGUCUUUAAAAAACCCUGCUGGCAUAAUGCUUUUCCUUUUAAAUGUUUUGUUAUGAAUAUAAAGAGAGAGAGAGAGGGAGAGAGCGAGAGUGAGACAGAGAGAGAGACAGACUAUUAAUUGCCUCUUUACCUCCCACAGUCCUGGCUUGGGUGUAAAACAUUCUUCCUGCAUUAAUUAAGGGUUCUGUCUGCUCACCCUGAAAACUUCUGGUUCAAUUAUUUAAAAAAAA